GUCCGCAAAAACAUGGCGGAUUUUCGCGCCAUAUGACGCCAUUUCCAUGACAACUGGUUCCUCCGGCUCAUGAAAUUACCGCUGACCAGGCUCAAUUCUGAGCCCGCUACAAUUUUACACCCCCCUGGUUUUAUCAAAAAAUUUUUUGCUUUUCGAGGUUUUUGCAGUAAAAUCUCGUUUUUUUAUAUUUUUUCGACUUUUGACCAUUUGUUAAAAGAUUUAAAAGUCGUACACGCUAUUCUCACCCGCGAAAGACAACAAACCAAUAUGAAAAGCCCGAGAAAUUUUGGCAAAGGCGAUAUUUGAUGGCGGAGCUCACAG